rnacentral:lncRNA from 1 species
AAUAGUCCCGUCCAUUUGGCAAAGUCUGCAGCCGAGCCCCCCAAUAUUCCACACAUUGACCCGGUUACAGCCUGACCUCGCAGCCCCUUCGGAUUAGCCCGGCGCGGCCUCCCUGGCGCCCUGGGCCCUCCCUGCGUGCCCCCCACGAGCGCCCUGCCCUCGCUCCCCUGUGCACGUUUGUUGUUGUAGCGGAGCGAAAAAGAGACAGUUAACCGGAUGAAACUUUUUUUCAGCUAAUUUUGGGAAGUGACUUCACUUUGCGAAUCGGGGAGGAAGCGCUCUCUCUCUCUCUCUCUCUCUCUCUCUCUCUCUCUCUCUCUCUCUCUCGCUGUCUCGCGCUCUCCUCUCCUCUCCCCUCUGCUCUCCCUCGUCUUCCCUCCCCCCACACCCCCUCUUCCUCCCCUCUGCUGGUCCUGCUUUUCGCAUCACACACACUAUAUAAAUAUACCCGGAGAUGCCCAGAUACAUUCAUGCGCAGCGCACACAGGAUACUUGCUCCUGGGAGAUAAGAGCGAGCUGGGAACAAUGCCGGGAUCCACGCCCGGCGCCCGCGCCCUGAUCCCCGCAAGCUGCACCCCCAGCCCCAACACCUUCCCCAAAAGUCCAAAACCAAACGUCUUUGGCCUCCUUCCUUUUCCCGGGGCCGUUGGCCGAAGGUGGCCCUCCUGACUCAUUCACUUUCCGUUUCUUCCCACAGAUACAUUCAUUAAUGCUUUUUCCAGCCGGAGUCAAACUUACUGGGGGUUGGGGGGGGAGUUAACUCGGGCUGGGGAUAACCUGGAGCCUACUGCCGGGGAAGAUCCGGACGCAGACCGAAGCAAACCAACCAUUAAAAAAUGCAUCCAAUGGGAAUUUUUCCACUCCAGNNNNNNNNNNNNNNNNNNNNNNNNNNNNNNNNNNNNNNNNNNNNNNCUCGGGGCGCUUUCGGAAGGACCCCACCGUCGGGGGCGCGGACUAGGCUCCCAGCGCAUUGUUAGCAGAAGGGCGCCCUCACGGGCAGCGCUCCUCGGCCCUUUGCUCCUGGAGAGUUCCCGGCGCCCGCCCAGGGCCGGGACCGGAGGCACCCAGGGCCACCUACCCGCGCCUCCUAGGGUCAAACCCUUCGCACUUUACCUGGACCGGAUGGCCCAAGUGCCGGCGCUCGGUCAGAGCCGCCUAUGCAAUGCUACUCCGAGCACUGAGAAAGCCACAGCACCGCAGGACAUUCCCUCCACGCUGGUCAGCAGGUCUCCAGAGCGCAGCACGCAAGAUCGCCGCACAGACUCAGACUCCCCCCCCGGGUUACCUUGUCCACGCUCUCCAGACCACGCUUUGGACUUUUUCACUUUUAUUUAAGAGUCCACCCGGGGAAGGAGGAAAAAAAAAAAUCCAGAGGAGAUCCGAGUCAGUUGGAAAGAAAAAAAAGUUCAAAAGGGUGUCCACAGCAGCGAAAAAGGUGACUUAUUAAUUCUUUAUUUCUUCUGGAGCAAUUGAGCCAGAAAGCUAGCUCGCCUCCCUCCCCCCCACCCCCCUCU